rnacentral:rRNA from 1 species
CCUACGGGGCGCAGCAGUGAGGAAUAUUGGUCAAUGGGCGCGAGCCUGAACCAGCCAAGUAGCGUGAAGGAUGACUGCCCUACGGGUUGUAAACUUCUUUUAUAAAGGAAUAAAGUGAGGCACGUGUGCCUUUUUGUAUGUACUUUAUGAAUAAGGAUCGGCUAACUCCGUGCCAGCAGCCGCGGUAAUACGGAGGAUCCGAGCGUUAUCCGGAUUUAUUGGGUUUAAAGGGAGCGUAGAUGGGUUGUUAAGUCAGUUGUGAAAGUUUGCGGCUCAACCGUAAAAUUGCAAUUGAUACUGGCAGCCUUGAGUGCAGUUGAGGUAGGCGGAAUUCGUGGUGUAGCGGUGAAAUGCUUAGAUAUCACGAAGAACUCCGAUUGCGAAGGCAGCUUACUAAACUGUGACUGACAUUGAUGCUCGAAAGUGUGGGUAUCAAACAGGAUUAGAUACCCCAGUAGGC